rnacentral:tRNA from 1 species
AAGGAUUUAAGUUAAAAAAACUCAUAGCCUUCAAAGCUACUAAUAAAGGACCGCCCCCUUUAAGCCUUA